CAGCCGCCGCGGGAAUACGAAGGGGGCUAGCGUUGCUCGGAAUGACUGGGCAUAAAGGGCGCGUAGGCGGCCAUUCAAGUUAGAUGUGAAAGCCCUGGGCUCAACCUAGGAAUUGCAUUUGAUACUGUUUGGCUUGAGUUCGGGAGAGGUGAGUGGAAUUCCCAGUAUAGAGGUGAAAUUCGUAGAUAUUGGGAAGAACACCAGUGGCGAAGGCGGCUCACUGGACCGACACUGACGCUGAGGCGCGAAAGCGUGGGGAGCAAACAGGAUUAGAUACCCGAGUAGUCCCUGUCUCUUAUAC
rnacentral:rRNA from 1 species